rnacentral:rRNA from 2 species
UGGGGAAUCUUGCGCAAUGGGCGAAAGCCUGACGCAGCCAUGCCGCGUGAAUGAUGAAGGUCUUCGGAUUGUAAAAUUCUUUCACCGGGGACGAUAAUGACGGUACCCGGAGAAGAAGCCCCGGCUAACUUCGUGCCAGCAGCCGCGGUAAUACGAAGGGGGCUAGCGUUGCUCGGAAUUACUGGGCGUAAAGGGAGCGUAGGCGGACAUUUAAGUCAGGGGUGAAAUCCCGGGGCUCAACCUCGGAAUUGCCUUUGAUACUGGGUGUCUUGAGUAUGAGAGAGGUGUGUGGAACUCCGAGUGUAGAGGUGAAAUUCGUAGAUAUUCGGAAGAACACCAGUGGCGAAGGCGACACACUGGCUCAUUACUGACGCUGAGGCUCGAAAGCGUGGGGAGCAAACAGG